rnacentral:rRNA from 1 species
GGGACACGUGGUAUCCUGUCUGAAUAUGGGGGGACCAUCCUCCAAGGCUAAAUACUCCUGACUGACCGAUAGUGAACCAGUACCGUGAGGGAAAGGCGAAAAGAACCCCGGCGAGGGGAGUGAAAAAGAACCUGAAACCGUGUACGUACAAGCAGUGGGAGCACGCUUAGGCGUGUGACUGCGUACCUUUUGUAUAAUGGGUCAGCGACUUAUAUUCUGUAGCAAGGUUAACCGAAUAGGGGAGCCGAAGGGAAACCGAGUCUUAACUGGGCGUUAAGUUGCAGGGUAUAGACCCGAAACCCGGUGAUCUAGCCAUGGGCAGGUUGAAGGUUGGGUAACACUAACUGGAGGACCGAACCGACUAAUGUUGAAAAAUUAGCGGAUGACUUGUGGCUGGGGGUGAAAGGCCAAUCAAACCGGGAGAUAGCUGGUUCUCCCCGAAAGCUAUUUAGGUAGCGCCUCGUGAAUUCAUCUCCGGGGGUAGAGCACUGUUUCGGCAAGGGGGUCAUCCCGACUUACCAACCCGAUGCAAACUGCGAAUACCGGAGAAUGUUAUCACGGGAGACACACGGCGGGUGCUAACGUCCGUCGUGAAGAGGGAAACAACCCAGACCGCCAGCUAAGGUCCCAAAGUCAUGGUUAAGUGGGAAACGAUGUGGGAAGGCCCAGACAGCCAGGAUGUUGGCUUAGAAGCAGCCAUCAUUUAAAGAAAGCGUAAUAGCUCACUGGUCGAGUCGGCCUGCGCGGAAGAUGUAACGGGGCUAAACCAUGCACCGAAGCUGCGGCAGCGACACUAUGUGUUGUUGGGUAGGGGAGCGUUCUGUAAGCCUGUGAAGGUGUGCUGUGAGGCAUGCUGGAGGUAUCAGAAGUGCGAAUGCUGACAUAAGUAACGAUAAAGCGGGUGAAAAGCCCGCUCGCCGGAAGACCAAGGGUUCCUGUCCAACGUUAAUCGGGGCAGGGUGAGUCGACCCCUAAGGCGAGGCCGAAAGGCGUAGUCGAUGGGAAACAGGUUAAUAUUCCUGUACUUGGUGUUACUGCGAAGGGGGGACGGAGAAGGCUAUGUUGGCCGGGCGACGGUUGUCCCGGUUUAAGCGUGUAGGCUGGUUUUCCAGGCAAAUCCGGAAAAUCAAGGCUGAGGCGUGAUGACGAGGCACUACGGUGCUGAAGCAACAAAUGCCCUGCUUCCAGGAAAAGCCUCUAAGCAUCAGGUAACAUCAAAUCGUACCCCAAACCGACACAGGUGGUCAGGUAGAGAAUACCAAGGCGCUUGAGAGAACUCGGGUGA